UCCCAUCACCUCCCAGCCAGGGCAAAGUCAAACACAGGCACCUCCCACCCCUGGGAACUUUGGCCCCAGCCCUGAGAUCAGCUCAGACAGAAGACAGCGAGGCACAGCGCACAGCCCGGCAGGAAAGCAGCUGGGUCCUGAGGCUGGUGCAGACAGAACAGCCGAGCCAUUUCGUGCCCUGUGAGCUGGGUGAGCGGACACCAGUCAGUGAGAACCAACAUGAAUGGCAGCGGUCACCGGUCAGUAGGUACUGUCACGGAACCCUAACGAGGAUAAGCAGCCUGAGGUAAGAACUAAAAGACCAAGAACUGGAAAGUCUGCGUGUCUCCAUCCCUUGGUGAUAAGGCAGAGAGUGCUUUGCUGUAAGUGUCGUGGCGGACGCAUAUAGCAUGCAAAUGAAAAGGAAAGGGACCCUGGAAGAAGGCCUCUGAAAAGGGUGGCACAUAGGGAUGGGUGAAGGGGUCGCAGUCAACCCCCCAGUUGGAAUAUAGUUUUUCCUUCCAAGGAGAAAAUGUAUGUGUAUUCUUUAUAACUUUUUAAGAGAUCCAACACACAUGGGGCAGCUGGGUGCCUCAGUCCGUUAGGCGUCAGACUCUUAGUUUCCACUCAUGUCAUGAUCUCAAGGUCCUGAGAUGGAGUCCCACACAGCGCAGAGUCAGCUUGUGAUUCUCUGCCUUUCCCUCUCCUCCCCCCUCUGCCCCUCUUCCACGCUCACAUAUUCAUUCUCUCUAGAAUGAAUAAAUACCUGAAAUAAAUAGGGAUGCCUGGGUGGCUCAAUCGGUUAAGGCUCCCGCUCUUGAUUUCAGCUCAGGUCAUGCUAUCGGGAUCAAAAGAUAGAGGCCAGGCCGUCGCUGGCUCUUUGCUCAGCGCAGAGUCCGCUUGUCUCUCUCCCUCUCCCUCCCCACCCAUAAGUAAAUAAAUAUCAUUUUUAGAAAAGAUACAACACACAUGGUUCCAGUCCCAUCAGUGAGACCCGAAAAAUUUUAAUCCACCAACGCAUGAGUGAGCCUCUAAGGACAGCCCCUAGAGCCCCUAGGGUAGGAUUAGCUGGUUAUGCCCCCUUGUGAGUGUCUCCCUAGUGACAGAACCCCCAGGGGCAGAGUUGCUAAUUACAGCUCAUCAGGAUCCUUCUAAUCCCUAGCAAUUCAAACCUGCAUCAGUGCCCCCUAUAUCGAACUCCUCGGUCACUGUGGCCCCAAAACCUCCUGAGGUCAGGAUUCCCCCAACUCCUGCAUCCGGAUUACAAGAACCAAAAUCUUGUUCCUGUUGGGUCCUCAAACUCAGAUUCCUGGGCCACUGUGCCUGCAUAAUUCUACUCUGGGAUAUUCUGCCCCGAAUUCUGUCCCCGGGUCACUGUCACUCAGCCCUAACACCACAGGCCUCGGCAAAUUGCCAGCCUUCCCGCACAAAGUCUCACCAAGUUUGGUUUCCUAUGCCCCAGUCUCCCUCUCCCACAACCUGGCCUGGAGCCCGAGGGGGCGUGGCGGCCACGACCGCACCCACCCCCGCCUCAGCCAAUCAGCGGUUGCCGCACACCCUCUGAAGCGGCCAAUCCGCAGCAGUCAUGCGGCCCCACCCCCCCCACUGGGGAGAUUCAACCCAAACUGGGCCCCGCGCCCCUGAGGGAAUCCAGGGUACGCUCCUUCCCUAACUGGGGAGUCCACGCCCCAUGUUUCCUCCUCCCACAAACCCAGGAGUCCAGGAUCCCAGCCCCUCCUCUCUCUGACCAAAGGACUCUCAACCCUUGCUGCUGUUUCCCGCAGAACUUCUGGAACCCGCCACCCUCCUAUUACACAGCCAGCGAGCUCAAAACUCCAUUCCCUUAAGGACCUAGAAUAACAAGGAGGCCUUUUUGUUUCACCUCCACUAUUAUCUCCUAAUAGGGUUUAAUUUUUUCUCCCCUGCGGGCCUUUGUAUUAGCUGGGGUAAAGCCGACCGGCAAUACCUCCCCAGGAGCCUGCUGCAAGGCCUGCCGGG